ensembl:lncRNA
AGAGACGUUAGCAUGGCGAUGUCUCCAUUUUUGUCAAUUGUUCAACCAGCGGCACCAUCGUGUAUUACAACCUGACGCUAGCAUGUGCCUACCUUUCUUAGUAUCACCAAUCUGGACAGGUUGGUCUUUAUGGGUCUUUUUGAUUUCUUUCUCUGUGGAGGGUUUUGUUUGUUCUACGUUUUCAAUAGAUAUUUUCUUUGCUUCCUUUUGCUCUUUGGGAGUCACUUCUCUCUGGUCUUUGGAGGGUUUCUCAGGGUCUUGUUCUUCAGAGAGCUUCUUUGGUUCAUUUUCUUCCUUUCGAGAGAGUAUUGUUGAUUCCUUUCCAUCUCUUGAAGGUUUCUCUUGUGCUUGUUUUCUUCUGGAGAGCUUUUUUGGAACUGCCUUUUCUUUGGAAGGUUUUGCUUGGUUUUUCUCCAUUGAAGAUUUCUUUGGGUCUCUUUCUUUCUUUAUGGGUGUGAUGACUUCUUUUUCCUCCACUGAAAGUAUUUUUUCUUUUUUAUCCCUCAGAGACGGCUUCUUGUCUUCCGUCCCUUUCUUUAAGUAUUUUACUUCUUUGUCAUCUUCAGAUGGAUUCUUAACCUCUUUUUUCUCUUUUUCUUUUGUAGGUCUCUUGAUUUCUUUGUCCUCCUUCGGUGGCUCCCUUAUUUCCUUUUCUUUUGAAUGUUUCUUCAAUUCUUUCCUUUCCUUGGAAGGCUCCCCUGCUUCCUUCAGUUCUUUGGGCUUCAUUACUUUCGCUACAAUUUCUUCUUGAGGCUUUUUCAGUUUCAAUUGUAGCCUUUCUUUGAGUGAUUUAUUCUCAUCUUUGUGAGACUUCAUUUCAGUUAGUUCUUCUUUCAGAGGUUUUAUCUCUUCUUUCUGUUCUUUAAGAUGUUUCCUCACCUCUUUUUCUUCUUGAGAUGGUUUUAUCUCUUCUUUCUGUUCUUUAAGAUGUUUCUUCACCUCUUUCUCUUCUUGAGAUGGUUUUAUUGCUUCUUUAACUUCUUUAAGUUGUUUCUUGGCUUCUCUUCCUUUUAAAGAAGAUGUAUUAACUUCCCUCUCCGCCCUUGAUGGUUUGUAUACAUUUCUAUGUACUUUCAAUGGUUUGUUGGCUUCUUUUUCUUCUUUUGGCGAAUUCUUUAAUCCUUUUCCUCGGUUAGAUAGUAUCUUGACUUCUCCCUUUUCUCUGGAUGGAGUGCUGACUGCUUUCUUUUCUUUGAGUGGUGUCUUGACUUCUUUCUCCUCUUCGGGUGGUGUCUUGACCUUUUUCUCCACUUUGGGUGGUGUCUUGAGUUCUUUCUCCUCUUUGGGUAGAGUAUUGACCUCUUUCUUUUCUUUAAGUGGUUUCUUGUCUGCUUUCUCCUCUUUGGGUGGUGUCUUGACUUCUUUCUCCACUUUGGGUGGUGUCUUGAUUUCUAUGUCCUCUUUGGGUGGAGUCUUGAUCUCUUUCUUUUCUUUAAGUUGAGUCUUGACUUCUUUCUUUUCUUUGGGUGGUGUCUUGACUUCUUUCUCCACUUUGGGUGGUGUCUUGACUUCUUUCUCCUCUUUGGGUGGAGUCUUGACCUCUUUCUUUUCUUUAAGUGGUUUCUUGUCUGCUUUUUCCUCUUUGGGUGGUGUCUUGACUUCUUUCUCCUCUUUGGGUGGUGUCUUGAGCUCUUUCUCCUCUUUGAGUGGAGUCUUGACCUCAUUCUUUUCUUUAAGUGGUUUCUUGUCUUCUUUCUCCUCUUUGGGUGAUGUCUUGACUUCUUUCUCCACUUUAGGUAGAGUCUUGACUUCUUUCCUUCCUUUAGGUAGUGUCUUGACCUCUAUCUCCUCUUUAAGUGGUGUCUUGACUUCUUUCUCCUCUUUAGAUGGUGUCUUGACCUCUUUCUCCUCUCUGGGUGGUGUCUUGACCUCUUGCUUUUCUUUUAAGUGGUUUCUUGUCUGCUUUCUCCUCUUUGGGUGGUGUCUUGACUUCUUUCUCCUCAUUAGAUGGUGUCUUGACUUGGUUUUCUUCUGUUGAAUGUUUCUUGAUUUCUUCUUGAAGUGGUUUUGUUACGUUUGUCACAUCUUUGUGUGGAAUCUUGACUCUUUUUCUCCUCUUUGGGUGGAGUCUUGAGCUCUUUCUCCUCUUUGGGGUGGUGUCUUGGCUCCUUUCUUCUGUUUAUGUGGUGUCUUGACCUCUUUCUCCUCUUUGGGUGGUGUCUUGACGUCUUCCUUUUCUUUGGGUGGUGUCUUGACUUGUUUUUCUUCUGUUGAAUGUUUCUUGACUGCUUCUUGAAGUGGUUUUGUUACGUUUGUCACGUCUCUGUGUGGAAUCUUGACUUUUUUCAGUUCUUUAGGUGUUUUCUUGCCCUCUUUCUCUUCUUUAGAAGUUUCCCUGAAUGGUUUCUCCUCUUUAGAUGUUUUCUUGAUUUGUUUCUCUUCUUUUAGUGGCGUCUUGACUCUUUUCUCCUCUCUGGAUGGUGUCUUGACUUUGCUCUCUUCACGUGGUUUUGUGACUUCUUUCUCCUCUUCAGGUUUUUUUUCAACUACUUUCUCAACUCGAGUGGGUUUAUUGCAUUGUUUUUCUUGUCUAGUGUGUUUCGUGACCGUCGUCUGUUCUUUCGAUCGUUUCUUGACUUUCUUCAGGGCCUGAGUUGGUUUUUGAGGUUCCUUCUCUUCUUGAGAUGAUAUAUUUACCUCUUUCUUUUCUGCAAUUGGUUUCCUGACUUGUUUCUCUUGUCCAGGGAUUUUUAUGACUUCUUUUUCUUCUUCAGAUGGUUUCUCAACAUUAUUAUCUUUUCUUGAUAGUCUCUUGACUUCUCUCUCUUCCUCAAAUGCUUUUGUGACUUCUUUCUCUUCUUUCUUGUAUUGUGUUUCUUGUCUAGUCUUCUUGACCUCUGUCUGUUCUUCAGAUGGUUUCUUGAUCUCUUUCACUUCUGGAGAUGCUUUCGUGAUCUCUUUCUCCUCUAUAGGUGGUUUCUUCACUUCUUUUUUGUCGUUUUUCUUCACAUACCUCUCUUCUCUAGAUGGUUUCUUGAUGUUUUUCUCUGCUUGAGUUUGUUUCUGGACUUCUUUCACUUUGUGAGAUGAUUUCUUUACUGCUUCCUUUUCUUGAAUUGGUUUCCUGACUUCUUUCUCUUCUUCAUGUAGUUUCUUGACCUCCUUCUCACCUUGAGAUGGUUUCUCGACUUCUCUCUCCUCUAUAGAUGCUUUCUUAACUUCCCUUUCCUCUUUCUCAUCUUGAGGUAUUUUUUUGACUCCUUUUAAUGAUUUCUUUUCCUCUUUCUCUGCUUUAGUUUCUUUCUGAACCUCUUUCUCUUCUUUAAGUAGUAGCUUGACUACUUUGUCUUCUUUUAGUGGUUUCUUGACUCCAGUGGAUGGUUUCAUGACAUCUUGUUCUGUUUUAGAUGGUUUCUUGGCGUCUUUCUGUUUUAUUGGUUUUCUUCGCUUCUGUCACCUGUUUUGUUUCUUUCUCCUCCUUAGUAUGCUUCACUCUUUUCUCUCCUUUAGGUGGUUUAUUGGGUUCUUCCUUCUUUUUAGUCUCUUCUUCUAAAAGUAAUCAUCAAAUUGUCAUCAGUUACAGACUUGUAACGGCUAACCACCGUUAGCAUUAACUCCUAUUAGUACUGAAAUAUGUUACAAUUAAAAAAAUACAUCAUCUGAUCUCCAUAUUUUUUGUACAUUAUGAUCUACAGAAGUUAACAACCUUGUUUUUGUUAUUUUGUGCAGUAUUUUUCUAUUUUCAUCAAUAUGUUUAAUUACCUUUGUGCUUCAGUGGUUUCUUCUCAAAUGGUUUAGCCUCUUCCUUUAGCUUUUCUUCUUUUGGUUUCUUUUCAAUGAUUUCCUCAAGUUUGGCUCCCUCUUUUUUCUCCUCCUCGAGGUCU